AGGAUUAACGCUGGCGGCGUGCCUAACACAUGCAAGUCGAACGAGGUAGCAAUACCUAGUGGCAGACGGGUGAGUAACGCGUGGUCAACCUACCGUUGAGUGGGGGAUAACUAGCCGAAAGGUUAGCUAAUACCGCAUACGAGUCUCGGGGGCAUCCCUGGGACUUAAAAGGAGCAAUCCGCUCGAUGACGGGACCGCGUCCCAUUAGCUAGAUGGUGGGGUAACGGCCUACCAUGGCACCGAUGGGUAGCUGGUUUGAGAGAGCGACCAGCCACACUGGGACUGAGAAACGGCCCAGACUCCUACGGGAGGCAGCAGUGAGGAAUUUUCCGCAAUGGGCGAAAGCCUGACGGAGCGACGCCGCGUGUGGGAAGAAGGCCUUCGGGUCGUAAACCACUGUCGAAGGGGACGAGUAAUGACGGUACCCUUGGAGGAAGCCCCGGCUAACUACGCGCCAGCAGCCGC
rnacentral:rRNA from 1 species